rnacentral:rRNA from 1 species
UGACGACCAUAGCAAGGUGGUCCCACCCCUUCCCAUCCCGAACAGGACCGUGAAACACCUUCGCGCCGAUGAUAGUGCGCCCCCAAGCGCGUGAAAGUAGGUCAUCG